UCCGUAGGCGGUGCGGCAAGUCGGAAGUGAAAUCUCAGGGCUUAACCCUGAGGCUGCUUCCGAAACUGCCGUGCUCGAGUGCGAGAGAGGCGGGUGGAAUUGCAGGUGUAGCGGUGAAAUGCGUAGAUAUCUGCAGGAACAUCCGAGGCGAAAGCGGCUCGCUGGAUCGCAACUGACGCUGAGGGACGAAAGCUAGGGGAGCAAACAGGAUUAGAUACCCUGGUAGUCCUAGCCCUAAACGAUCAGGACUGGGCGUGGGCCUCGUACGGGGCUCGUGCCGCAGCUAACGCGUUAAGUCCUGCGCCUGGGGAGUACGGUCGCAAGGCUGAA
rnacentral:rRNA from 1 species